rnacentral:lncRNA from 1 species
CAAAAGCUCUAUCCAUUCUCCUUUCCUCUACAAGCUCUAAUGGGGAAACCAAGAAGAAAAGCAGGAGGCGUCUCAUCCCCAUGGGAAGGUCUAGCCUCACAAAAAACCUUGGAACCCCAAAGAGCUUGUGACCCAUCCGCUCUGGUUAAAGAAAUUUCACCAAAAAGGAGUGAAUGGAAAGAAGCAAAGGAAAAGUGGGAAUGGAGGAUUGAUAGAAUUAGGGUUCUAAGUGCCUAUAAAAUGGAGCUUCCUCUACCCAGCAAAGAUCAUCAUCCAGAGUGCGACCAAGCUUUGUCAAGCAACUGAAAAUUCACUCAAUCCACAUCCAGAGAGCAAGCUUCCUUUCUUGCUUCCAAAACCCAACAAUUUCGAGCCCUAUUCCUCCAUCUCCUCCCCUUUUCUCUUCUAUUAAAACAUUCCAGAGCUUGACAGAUUUUUCGUCAAGCUGCUGUAAACUAUUCAACACACCCAUUAUACCCCCAUCUCUCUCCCUCUUCAAUAAACCCUCUUAGAAUCCAUUCCCCCUUUCCUUAGAACCCCUAUCUCUCAUAAGAACCCACAACUUUCUCUGUUUAUGCUAAACUCAUGAUGGUUUUGCUCCCAUGCCACAAGCUUCUCAUGCCAAGCUAAGAAUCCACAUGUAAGCAGUUGUGGUUUUUGUUGGUGAAGAUAACCAGGAUGCUUCCUAAGACUUCACUACCAUUUC